rnacentral:rRNA from 1 species
UACAGAGGUCUCAAGCGUUUGUUCGGAUUCAUUGGGCGUAAAGGGUGCGUAGGCGGCGCGGUAAGUCGGGUGUGAAAUCUCGGAGCUUAACUCCGAAACUGCAUUCGAUACUGCCGUGCUUGAGGACUGGAGAGGAGACUGGAAUUUACGGUGUAGCGGUGAAAUGCGUAGAUAUCGUAAGGAAGACCAGUGGCGAAGGCGGGUCUUUGGACAGUUCCUGACGCUGAGGCACGAAGGUCAGGGGAGCAAACGGG